rnacentral:lncRNA from 1 species
UCUUCUCGCAUGAUGGUAGAGCUUAUUGCUACUUUAGAUACCGUCAAACAUGUGAAUAAGUCAUCCGCUGCUUCUAGGGAGGUGAUGUCGGGUACUUCUUCAAGUCCUUGAAUGUGCAUUGGCGAGCCUCAUCCCAAAGUGCAUACUUCUCUACCAAAGCAAAAGAGUCUGCCAGAGUUAGAUCUUCUUUCAUGAUCAAUUUUCCGAAUAGCGGGUGGUCUGCUGGAAGUCCUUUUUGGAAGGCUGCUCUAGCUAUCGAGUCGUUGCAUCCGACUAUUUUUACCUUCUCUACUUUGAACCUCCUCACAUAGUCGCGAAGUGACUCAUUUGGGUUCUUCUUGACGUUGAACAAAUGAUC